AUUGAACGCUGGCGGCAUGCUUUACACAUGCAAGUCGAGCGGCAGCGCGGGGGCAACCCUGGCGGCGAGCGGCGAACGGGUGAGUAAUACAUCGGAACGUACCCAGGAGUGGGGGAUAGCCCGGCGAAAGCCGGAUUAAUACCGCAUACGAUCUUAGGAUGAAAGUGGGGGACCGCAAGGCCUCACGCUUUUGGAGCGGCCGAUGUCCGAUUAGCUAGUUGGUGGGGUAAAGGCCUACCAAGGCGACGAUCGGUAGCUGGUCUGAGAGGAUGAUCAGCCACACUGGGACUGAGACACGGCCCAGACUCCUACGGGAGGCAGCAGUGGGGAAUUUUGGACAAUGGGGGGAACCCUGAUCCAGCCAUGCCGCGUGCGGGAAGAAGGCCUCGGUUGUAA
rnacentral:rRNA from 1 species